UUUGUGGAUGGAAUUUGUCCAAACUCCAUGAACAGGAACAAGGUACCAACAAAAUACCUUGCGCAGAAGAUCCUUUCUACCAAGAAAGUAUAGACAUGUAAAUCUCUAAUAAAGGUGUUUGAAAGUGCUGAUCAGUCCUGAUGAUUCUUAAAGUCCACAGAGUUAGUCAUUCCUGGGAUCAGAUUCAAUCAUUUCAUGGCUAUGCCAAAUCACAUGCUGAUGACACCAGUGUCGGUGAAGAAAGCUCUGGAAGUGUCGGCGUUCAGGCAUCUCCUGACAUGCAUGAAAUCUCCACAUAUACCGAAAGAC